rfam:Tupaia belangeri cont1.466541, whole genome shotgun sequence.
UUUCCUGUGCCCUGGUGACGCCAUGCUUUUAGAGGCUAACACGGAAGGGUAAAAUAAGUCUCCAUAAAAUCCAGAGAAGAGAUGAUAAACUCCUCUUUGGAUCCUGUCUGGAGUCACAACU